UACGGAGGGGGCUAGCGUUGUUCGGAAUUACUGGGCGUAAAGCGCACGUAGGCGGCUUUGCAAGUUAGAGGUGAAAGCCCGGGGCUCAACUCCGGAAUUGCCUUUAAAACUGCAUCGCUAGAAUUGUGGAGAGGUAAGUGGAAUUCCGAGUGUAGAGGUGAAAUUCGUAGAUAUUCGGAAGAACACCAGUGGCGAAGGCGGCUCACUGGACUGGUAUUGACGCUGAUGUGCGAAAGCGUGGGGAGCAAACAGG
rnacentral:rRNA from 1 species